rnacentral:rRNA from 1 species
GACGAACGCUGGCGGCGUGCUUAACACAUGCAAGUCGAACGAUGAAGCUGGAGCUUGCUCUGGUGGAUUAGUGGCGAACGGGUGAGUAACACGUGAGUAACCUGCCCUGGACUCUGGGAUAAGCGUUGGAAACGACGUCUAAUACCGGAUAGGACCUCGGAUCGCAUGAUCUGGGGUGGAAAGUUUUUCGGUCUGGGAUGGACUCGCGGCCUAUCAGCUUGUUGGUGAGGUAAUGGCUCACCAAGGCGUCGACGGGUAGCCGGCCUGAGAGGGUGACCGGCCACACUGGGACUGAGACACGGCCCAGACUCCUACGGGAGGCAGCAGUGGGGAAUAUUGCACAAUGGGCGCAAGCCUGAUGCAGCAACGCCGCGUGCGGGAUGACGGCCUUCGGGUUGUAAACCGCUUUUAGUAAGGAAGAAGGGGCUUCGGCCUUGACGGUACUUGCAGAAAAAGGACCGGCUAACUACGUGCCAGCAGCCGCCGUAACAC